CCGCCGCCCCUCGUGGCUGCGACCAACCCGCAUCCUGGCGCGCCGCCCCUCUUCACUCCCCCGCGGUCCUCCAUCCCGUCGGCCGCCAGUACCACUCCCGUGUGACCCUGCAGCCCGGUGCGCCGCCUCUCGUCACCACUCCCCUGCAUGUGGUCCUCUCCUCCGUCCCGACGCGCCACCAGCACCUCUCCCCUGCGACUCUGCAUCCCGGCGCGCCGCCCCUCGUCACCCCUCGUCAUCCCCUGUGACCAUUGGCGAAUCCAAGGUACGCAGUGAAGGUGACGGCCAAAGAUUUUGAUUUGUUUAUCCGGUGUUCCUGCAUGAUGGUCUUGCAUCUUGAGGGCUGACCGGCUGAGAAGAUCUGUUUGGGCUUAAGAAAAUUCUGUAGUUGUUUGUGCACCUGAGUUCAUGGUCAAGGUCUCAUGGAGUCCAAUGGAAUAAUGUUGGAAGCCCAUGGUGUCCAUUGAAUUUCGUUCAUCUGCUACUAGCUGGAUCCAAAGCAUUGUAGGUACUCCAGUGAGAAGUUCAUCAUACAUUGGUUUUGACCCUCGUAAAGCUGAUGAAUGUGAAUGAAGAUUAUGGAGAACUUUCUUCAGUAGCAAGUUCUGUACUCUGUACUGAUUCAUCAUGCAGCAACACACUGUUUGUGGCCGACAAAUUUCAUAAUGCAGGCAGGGGUUUGGAAGUGCAUGCCGCAGUAUAUAUGGUGGAUUUGUGAAAUGGUGUAUGGGAAAAAUUCAAAAGAAAACCCGAUUAUAAGGGUGCGCGGAAAGUCUAGUGCAAUGAUGAUGAUGAUGAUGAUGUUACUAUCCAUGAUGAAGAUGAUGAUGGAUGCUUUCAAUAUUAGUUAAGCUAUUGGAUGAUGUUAAGUUUUAGUUAAGUUAUAGGGAUGUUGAUUGAGGCUUUCACUUUAAGUUUCGCUGUCAAGAAAAUAUUUAAAUUAUGCAUCACAUUUGGAUGAUGUUCCUCCUGUAAUAUCCUGUAUCGUAAUCCAACAAUUUUAUUUGAUAUA